rnacentral:rRNA from 1 species
CAAGGCAACGAUGCAUAGCCGACCUGAGAGGGUGAUCGGCCACACUGGAACUGAGACACGGUCCAGACUCCUACGGGAGGCAGCAGUAGGGAAUCUUCCGCAAUGGGCGAAAGCCUGACGGAGCAACGCCGCGUGAGUGAUGAAGGUCUUCGGAUCGUAAAACUCUGUUAUUAGGGAAGAACAUAUGUGUAAGUAACUGUGCACAUCUUGACGGUACCUAAUCAGAAAGCCACGGCUAACUACGUGCCAGCAGCCGCGGUAAUACGUAGGUGGCAAGCGUUAUCCGGAAUUAUUGGGCGUAAAGCGCGCGUAGGCGGUUUUUUAAGUCUGAUGUGAAAGCCCACGGCUCAACCGUGGAGGGUCAUUGGAAACUGGAAAACUUGAGUGCAGAAGAGGAAAGUGGAAUUCCAUGUGUAGCGGUGAAAUGCGCAGAGAUAUGGAGGAACACCAGUGGCGAAGGCGACUUUCUGGUCUGUAACUGACGCUGAUGUGCGAAAGCGUGGGGAUCAAACAGGAUUAGAUACCCUGGUAGUCCACGCCGUAAACGA